UACGUAGGGUGCAAGCGUUAAUCGGAAUUACUGGGCGUAAAGCGUGCGCAGGCGGUGAUGUAAGACAGUUGUGAAAUCCCCGGGCUCAACCUGGGAAUUGCAUCUGUGACUGCAUCGCUAAAGUACGGUAGAGGGGGAUGGAAUUCCGCGUGUAGCAGUGAAAUGCGUAGAUAUGCGGAGGAACACCGAUGGCGAAGGCAAUCCCCUGGACCUGUACUGACGCUCAUGCACGAAAGCGUGGGGAGCAAACAGG
rnacentral:rRNA from 1 species